GAGGAAUAUUGGUCAAUGGGCGAGAGCCUGAACCAGCCAAGCAGCGUGCAGGAUGACGGCCCUCCGGGUUGUAAACUGCUUUUAGUUGGGAAUAAAAAAAGGGACUUGUCCCUUCUUGUAUGUACCUUCAGAAAAAGGACCGGCUAAUUCCGUGCCAGCAGCCGCGGUAAUACGGAAGGUCCAGGCGUUAUCCGGAUUUAUUGGGUUUAAAGGGAGCGUAGGCGGAUUGUUAAGUCAGCGGUUAAAGGGUGUGGCUCAACCAUGCAUUGCCGUUGAAACUGGCGAUCUUGAGUGCAGACAGGGAUGCCGGAAUUCGUGGUGUAGCGGUGAAAUGCUUAGAUAUCACGAAGAACUCCGAUCGCGAAGGCAGGUGUCCGGGCUGCAACUGACGCUGAGGCUCGAAAGUGUGGGUAUCAAACAGGAUUAGAUACCCUGGUAGUCCACACAGUAAACGAUGUAUACUCGCGGUUUGCGAUAGACAGUAAGCCGCCAAGCGAAAGCAUUAAGUAUACCACCUGGGGAGUACGCCGGCAACGGUG
rnacentral:rRNA from 1 species